ACGAACGCUGGCGGCAGGCCUAACACAUGCAAGUCGAGCGGGGGAGCAAUCCCUAGCGGCGGACGGGUUAGUAACGCGUGGGAACAUACCCUUUGGUACGGAAUAGCCUCGGGAAACUGAGAGUAAUACCGUAUGUGCCCUUCGGGGGAAAGAUUUAUCGCCAAAGGAUUGGCCCGCGUUGGAUUAGGUAGUUGGUGGGGUAAUGGCCUACCAAGCCGACGAUCCAUAGCUGGUUUGAGAGGAUGAUCAGCAACACUGGGACUGAGACACGGCCCAGACUCCUACGGGAGGCAGCAGUGGGGAAUCUUAGACAAUGGGCGAAAGCCUGAUCUAGCCAUGCCGCGUGGACGAUGAAGGCCUUAGGGUUGUAAAGUCCUUUCAGAUGGGAAGAUAAUGACGGUACCAUCAGAAGAAGCCCCGGCUAACUCCGU
rnacentral:rRNA from 1 species